GGAUUAGAUACCCUGGUAGUCCACGCCGUAAACGAUGUCUACUAGCCGUUGGGGAACGUGAGUCCCUGGUGGCGCAGCUAACGCACUAAGUAGACCGCCUGGGGAGUACGGCCGCAAGGUUAAAACUCAAAUGAAUUGACGGGGGCCCGCACAAGCGGUGGAGCAUGUGGUUUAAUUCGAUGCAACGCGAAGAACCUUACCAGGUCUUGACAUCCUCGGAACUUUCCAGAGAUGGAUUGGUGCCUUCGGGAACCGAGAGACAGGUGCUGCAUGGCUGUCGUCAGCUCGUGCUG
rnacentral:rRNA from 1 species